rnacentral:rRNA from 1 species
UAUAAGUAUAAAUAUAUUUCCUAAUCAGUAUUAGUUAUAUUCUUGAAAGUUAAAAAUUUUGGCGGUGUUUUAAUCAGUUCAGAGGAACUUGUUUUAUAAUUGAUAAUCCACGAUAAGAAUCACUUAUUUUUAGUUUGUAUAUCGUUGUUAAGAAUUUCUUUUUUGAGUUAAUUUUCAUUAUUAUAAUAAUAAUUAAUUUCAGAUCAAGGUGCAGCUUAUAGAUAAGUAAAAAUGAGUUACAUUAAAUAAAUUUUUGGUAUUUAAUUUUUAAUUUUUAAAUUAAAUUGGAUUUGAGAGUAAUUUAAAAUAUUUAUUUACAAUGAUUUUUGUUCUAAAAUAUGU